rnacentral:misc_RNA from 1 species
AUUGAUUUCGUAUUUAGUUUUGAUUUUUAUAAAUAUUUUUUUAAACUUUUUGUUGCGUACCAGUUGGGAUUUGUUAUGUACUUGCCGUAUUUCUUCCAUCAGAAAAGGAUAAGAACGUGUAGGAUAUUUUGACAUGCUGAGUGCUAUUUGAGUGCAGGAAAUUGAAGAAAUGGAGAGGAAAUAAGCAGCAGAAGCUUCUCUAAUGCGAAGAUUGAAUUCGAUGGUUGCGGAUAUAUAAGAUCGAUAGAGGUUUUCUCAUCAUGUCAUUCUUCGGCUUUUCACAAUUCCAACAGCCUCAUCUUCUCAAGCCGCUCAGGUAAUCAGUUAUGAAUUUGUCAAACCGACUCAUCUUAUUGCUUGCCAUUCUUUGUUUGUCGAUACAUAUGACAGUUGCUGAGCGAAAUACUGGUAUCUGCAUCAGAAACUGCGCUCAAUGCCAAAUAAUGCUUGGCGGGUAUUUCAUGGGGGAAAAGUGCGCAAAUUUCUGCGUG